rnacentral:tRNA from 2 species
GCGGAGAUGGCGGAAUUGGCAGACGCGCAGGCUUCAGGUGCCUGUGGUAGCAAUAUCGUGAGGGUUCAAGUCCCUUUCUCCGCA